rnacentral:rRNA from 1 species
UACGUAGGGUGCAAGCGUUAAUCGGAAUUACUGGGCGUAAAGCGUGCGCAGGCGGUCGCGUAAGCCAGAUGUGAAAUCCCCGGGCUUAACCUGGGAACUGCAUUUGGUACUGCGUGGCUGGAGUGCGGCAGAGGAAGGUGGAAUUCCUGGUGUAGCAGUGAAAUGCGUAGAGAUCAGGAGGAACACCGAUGGCGAAGGCAGCCUUCUGGGCCAGCACUGACGCUCAUGCACGAAAGCGUGGGGAGCAAACAGG